ACAGUCACACAUUAGAUACCCGCGUAGUCCCAGCUGUAAACGAUGCGCGUUAGGUGUGUCAGUGACCACGUGUCACUGAGGUGCCGAAGGGAAACCGUGAAACGCGCCGCCUGGGGAGUACGGUCGCAAGGCUGAAACUUAAAGGAAUUGGCGGGGAGCACCACAACGGGUGGAGCCUGCGGUUUAAUCGGACUCAACGCCGGAAAUCUCACCGGAUAAGACAGCUGAAUGAUAGUCGGGAUGAAGACUCUACUUGACUAGCUG
rnacentral:rRNA from 1 species